rfam:Larimichthys crocea isolate SSNF unplaced genomic scaffold scaffold364, whole genome shotgun sequence.
GCAUUGGUGGUAUAGUGGUCAGCAUUGCUGCUUGCCAAGCAGUUGACCCGUGUUCCAUUCCCGGCCAAUGCA